rnacentral:RNase_MRP_RNA from 1 species
UCCUCGCUCAAAGAAUCGCAUUCAAAGCUCACACACAAAAGGAUUUACUCCUUUUCAAACUUGCUUUGGGAGAAAGUCCCCGGACACCCUGCGCUUUGGUUCCGCCAAAGUCCUAAGCAGGCAUUGCGGAAACGCGCCGCCAUAGAAGCAAUUCGAUAGCGGCUGACUGCCCUACUCCCUCCCAGCACUCCGCACCACCCGACGGUUACAUGUCACAAUGUCUCUGGAAAGAAUGGGGUGUGUGUUGGGUGUUGGAGAGGGGAAGGAUUUGGUUCCUUGUAUUGGGUUGCCUUUCGUCAUGUUCGGAUAGUCAUGCGAUUGCCCUUUUCAUCUGCUUCCGUUUGGUUGUGGGUGGAGGGUAACUCAAUGGGGCUCAUUCUUGAGGCGAGG